rnacentral:rRNA from 1 species
GGUUAAGCGACUAAGCGUACACGGUGGAUGCCCUGGCAGUCAGAGGCGAUGAAGGGCGUGCUAAUCUGCGAUAAGCGCCGGUAAGGUGAUAUGAACCGUUAUAACCGGCGAUACCCGAAUGGGGAAACCCAGUGUGACUCGUCACACUAUCAUUAACUGAAUCCAUAGGUUAAUGAGGCGAACCGGGGGAACUGAAACAUCUAAGUACCCCGAGGAAAAGAAAUCAACCGAGAUUCCCCCAGUAGCGGCGAGCGAACGGGGAGGAGCCCAGAGCCUGAAUCAGCAUGUGUGUUAGUGGAAGCGUCUGGAAAGGCGCGCGAUACAGGGUGACAGCCCCGUACACAAAAGCGCAUGUGCUGUGAGCUCGAUGAGUAGGGCGGGACACGUGGUAUCCUGUCUGAAUAUGGGGGGACCAUCCUCCAAGGCUAAAUACUCCUGACUGACCGAUAGUGAACCAGUACCGUGAGGGAAAGGCGAAAAGAACCCCGGCGAGGGGAGUGAAAAAGAACCUGAAACCGUGUACGUACAAGCAGUGGGAGCACCCUUUGGGGUGUGACUGCGUACCUUUUGUAUAAUGGGUCAGCGACUUAUAUUCUGUAGCAAGGUUAACCGUAUAGGGGAGCCGUAGGGAAACCGAGUCUUAACCGGGCGUUAAGUUGCAGGGUAUAGACCCGAAACCCGGUGAUCUAGCCAUGGGCAGGUUGAAGGUUGGGUAACACUAACUGGAGGACCGAACCGACUAAUGUUGAAAAAUUAGCGGAUGACCUGUGGCUGGGGGUGAAAGGCCAAUCAAACCGGGAGAUAGCUGGUUCUCCCCGAAAGCUAUUUAGGUAGCGCCUCGUGAAUUCAUCUCCGGGGGUAGAGCACUGUUUCGGCUAGGGGGCCAUCCCGGCUUACCAACCCGAUGCAAACUGCGAAUACCGGAGAAUGUUAUCACGGGAGACACACGGCGGGUGCUAACGUCCGUCGUGAAGAGGGAAACAACCCAGACCGCCAGCUAAGGUCCCAAAGUCAUGGUUAAGUGGGAAACGAUGUGGGAAGGCCCAGACAGCCAGGAUGUUGGCUUAGAAGCAGCCAUCAUUUAAAGAAAGCGUAAUAGCUCACUGGUCGAGUCGGCCUGCGCGGAAGAUGUAACGGGGCUAAACCAUGCACCGAAGCUGCGGCAGCGAACGUAUCACCCAAGACAACUUUACGGAGUUGACGAUUGACGGAGCGAAGCGACGUCAAAGCGUUCAUUAAAGUCGAGUUGGCUUAGGGAUACGUUCGUUGGGUAGGGGAGCGUUCUGUAAGCCUGUGAAGGUGUGUCGUGAGGCAUGCUGGAGGUAUCAGAAGUGCGAAUGCUGACAUAAGUAACGAUAAAGCGGGUGAAAAGCCCGCUCGCCGGAAGACCAAGGGUUCCUGUCCAACGUUAAUCGGGGCAGGGUGAGUCGACCCCUAAGGCGAGGCCGAAAGGCGUAGUCGAUGGGAAACGGGUUAAUAUUCCCGUACUUGGUGUUACUGCGAAGGGGGGACGGAGAAGGCUAUGUUGGCCGGGCGACGGUUGUCCCGGUUUAAGCGUGUAGGUGUGUGUUCCAGGUAAAUCCGGUUCACUUUAACACUGAGGCGUGACGACGAGGCACUACGGUGCUGAAGCAACAAAUGCCCUGCUUCCAGGAAAAGCCUCUAAGCAUCAGGUAACAUCAAAUCGUACCCCAAACCGACACAGGUGGUCAGGUAGAGAAUACCAAGGCGCUUGAGAGAACUCGGGUGAAGGAACUAGGCAAAAUGGUGCCGUAACUUCGGGAGAAGGCACGCUGACACGUAGGUGAAGUGAUUUACUCAUGGAGCUGAAGUCAGUCGAAGAUACCAGCUGGCUGCAACUGUUUAUUAAAAACACAGCACUGUGCAAACACGAAAGUGGACGUAUACGGUGUGACGCCUGCCCGGUGCCGGAAGGUUAAUUGAUGGGGUCAGCGCAAGCGAAGCUCCUGAUCGAAGCCCCGGUAAACGGCGGCCGUAACUAUAACGGUCCUAAGGUAGCGAAAUUCCUUGUCGGGUAAGUUCCGACCUGCACGAAUGGCGUAAUGAUGGCCAGGCUGUCUCCACCCGAGACUCAGUGAAAUUGAACUCGCUGUGAAGAUGCAGUGUACCCGCGGCAAGACGGAAAGACCCCGUGAACCUUUACUAUAGCUUGACACUGAACAUUGAGCCUUGAUGUGUAGGAUAGGUGGGAGGCUUUGAAGUGUGGACGCCAGUCUGCAUGGAGCCGACCUUGAAAUACCACCCUUUAAUGUUUGAUGUUCUAACGUGGACCCGUUACCCGGGUUGCGGACAGUGUCUGGUGGGUAGUUUGACUGGGGCGGUCUCCUCCUAAAGAGUAACGGAGGAGCACGAAGGUUGGCUAAUCCUGGUCGGACAUCAGGAGGUUAGUGCAAUGGCAUAAGCCAGCUUGACUGCGAGCGUGACGGCGCGAGCAGGUGCGAAAGCAGGUCAUAGUGAUCCGGUGGUUCUGAAUGGAAGGGCCAUCGCUCAACGGAUAAAAGGUACUCCGGGGAUAACAGGCUGAUACCGCCCAAGAGUUCAUAUCGACGGCGGUGUUUGGCACCUCGAUGUCGGCUCAUCACAUCCUGGGGCUGAAGUAGGUCCCAAGGGUAUGGCUGUUCGCCAUUUAAAGUGGUACGCGAGCUGGGUUUAGAACGUCGUGAGACAGUUCGGUCCCUAUCUGCCGUGGGCGCUGGAGAACUGAGGGGGGCUGCUCCUAGUACGAGAGGACCGGAGUGGACGCAUCACUGGUGUUCGGGUUGUCAUGCCAAUGGCACUGCCCGGUAGCUAAAUGCGGAAGAGAUAAGUGCUGAAAGCAUCUAAGCACGAAACUUGCCCCGAGAUGAGUUCUCCCUGAGACUUAGAGUCUCCUGAAGGAACGUUGAAGACGACGACGUUGAUAGGCCGGGUGUGUAAGCGCAGCGAUGCGUUGAGCUAACCGGUACUAAUGAACCGUGAGGCUUAACCUU